rnacentral:rRNA from 1 species
GUCUAUGGCUAUACCACCUUGAACGCACCUGAUCUCGUCCGAUCUUGGAAGCUAAGCAGGAUUGGGCCUGGUUAGUACUUGGAUGAGAAACACUUGAUUAUUAGCAGUUGUGACUGUGGGUA